GCCGACUCUGUAUGGCAAAAAUGUCUUUUGAUAGGAGGGAAGAUUUGCAGGUGUUUGAGAGUUAGUUUAGAAGAUACUAAAAGUCUUAGUUUCCGAUAGAUUAGAAGGAAAUUGUGGCCAAAUUAAUUUAGUUUAAUUCCUUUUGUUUGUUUUCAUAAAUAAAAAAAAAAAAGAGAAAAAGAAAAGUUCUAAUUUGGUAUUAUUAUACUGAAUUUAAUUACCUAAAUUGGCUAUUUAAUUACAAUUUUAAACAAAGCUGGCUGUCCCGCAAGGCGGGGCAGUUGUGGAAGUCGACCCGCGUUGCCGGCUGAAUGCUGAUAUGGAACGUGGGCGCAAGGGUUACAUUACAGCGAAAUGCCGUGAAUCAGUUAUCUAAAAAUGGCCUUAAAAUAACAAAGAGAAACGAAAUUCAGUUCUUGAUUCUUGCAUUUUUAUCUUUCUGUCUCCCCGAAACAAUAAAGACAAACAAAACAAACCAUCUUCCCUUAUGCAUGCAAAAAGCACCAGACAUCAUACCUGGUACACACAACAACGACUCCAUACCUCCUUAGCCUUGGGUUUCAAAAUCCUCUCUCCAUCCCCACACCCCUUUUUACCCAAACAACACAGGGAGAGAGGGGUAGGAUAGGAGAGAAGACAAGAGAAGACAAUACAACUGGUAACCUUCGAUGUGUUCAUGAAAAUUGCACCAACAACCGAGAUAGAAUUCGAUGCGAUUAUCAAUCCCAUAUCCUUGGAACAUAAAAACAAUAUGGAUGUUUUUGGUAUUUUGUUCAUGUUUUUUCCCUUCUUUGUCAUUCGAAGGCCACCUUAUAUGUGGAACUAACAACCAAACGUCGGACAACUUUGGUCACAAAGUUAAUGAAGCCAUGGAAUCAUUGUGGGAACUUGUGUCUUCUAAAAGUUGGGGAACCGUGUUUAAGAAAGAUCCAAAGUACAAUAUUUUUGGAUUUGCCCAAUGCUACCAAGAUGUGAAUGCUGACGAUUGCGAACUCUGUUUCAAAAUAUCCCAAGGAAAACUCCAACAAUGCAUUCCUGCCAGAUCUGGCCGGGUCUAUCUCGACCAAUGCUUCCAUCGUUUCGAUCACUAUGACUUUUACAACGAAGGGGUUGAUCCAAAGUAUGAUCACGUCACCUGCGGCUCCCCUACAGGUGAUUCCAAUGACACUUACAUGUCUCAGGAUUUUCAAAGUAAGUUGGAUCAUGUGAUUUUGAACGUCGAGGAGGCUGCGUUGCGGAAAAAUGGAUUUGGGACAACCGAAGUGAAAGGUGGGGUGGUAACCGUUUACGCCUUGGCUCAGUGUUGGAAAACCAUCGAUAAACAAGCUUGCGAUAAGUGCCUCACUGAUGCAGGGAUGCGGCUGAGGGAGUGUGGCCCAGCAGCCGAAGGCCGGGCUUUGUUUACUGGGUGUUAUAUGAGGUAUUCAACCAAUAGAUUCUUUGAUCAUGGUUCGGGCACGGUGGAAAAAAAGGGGUUUACAGAUUGGGUCACCCUAGGACUGGCUUUAUCUGGAGCUACAUUCCUUUUGCUUGCUGUCGUUGGUGCUUUUGUAAGCUACAAGAAAUUAUCCAGAACAAAAGAAGAGGUGACUGGUCUAGAUGCCCUUCCGGCCACCGGACUCAAGACUAGUUUAAACUUCAAGUAUGAAAUGCUUGAAAAGGCAACCAAUAAUUUCAAUGAAUCAAUGAAAUUAGGCCAAGGAGGAGCAGGCUCGGUGUUCAAAGGAGUCCUACCUAACGCAGAAGCUGUUGCAGUUAAGAGAUUGUUCUUCAAUACUCGGCAGUGGGUGGACCAGUUCUUUAAUGAAGUAAAUUUGAUCAGUGGAAUUCAACACAAGAACCUUGUAAGGCUUUUAGGAUGCAGCAUUGAAGGUCCGGAGAGUCUUCUUGUUUAUGAAUAUGUGCCUAAUAGGAGCCUCGAUCAAAUCCUUUUCUCUAAGGACAAAAGAUAUAUUCUAAGCUGGUCCCAGAGGUUCAACAUCAUAUGUGGAACAGCUGAAGGGCUGGCAUAUCUUCAUGGAGGUUCUGGCGUGAAAAUCCUUCACAGAGACAUCAAAGCCAGCAACAUUCUCCUCGAUGAGCAUCUCUCUCCCAAGAUUGCUGAUUUCGGACUUGCUCGUUGCGUUGCUUCGGAUAAAUCCCAUGUCAGUACUGCAAUUGCAGGGACACUAGGAUACAUGGCUCCAGAAUACCUUGUCCGGGGACAACUAACAGAGAAAGCAGACGUUUAUGGUUUCGGGGUGCUAGUUCUUGAGAUUGCAACUGGUCGGAAAAACAGUGUUUUCUCGGAGGGUUCAAGUUCGAUUUUGUACUCGGUUUGGAAGCAAUACAAGGCAGACCACAUUACACAAUCAAUUGACCCUGGGUUAGAAGGCAAGUUUGAGGAAAGGGAGGCAUCUACUGCGCUACUAGUUGGGCUUUUGUGCACUCAACCUUCAGUUGCAAUAAGACCAUCCAUGCAUGACGUUCUUCACAUGCUAACCAAUGCAAAUUCUGAAAUUCCUUGUCCAAAACAACCUCCGUUCUUAACUGCCAGUGUGUUAAGUCCGGCACACACCCCCGACGAUUCUUUUGCAAUGGAUUCUUCAGCUUUAGAUCAGCCUAAAACAGGUUCUGAGUCAUCCACUCAGAAGGCCAUUGGGCAUUAAAUUAAAGCUACAAUGGAGUCAACAUAGCCUUCACUCAUUUUCUCCUUGGGCUUUGGGGAACCAAAAAAUUGUAAAUCUCAGCGAUGCAGGUCAAGAGAUCUGAGAAUUUUCCUCCCCCAACUGCAAUGAAACCUUUGUUUUUCCCACUUGGAGGCCAGGCGGGGGAGCAAGAAUAUUUGCAUGGCUUCUUUUUAGGGAUCCCGGUUGACUACCUUGAUGCCAAGAAUGGGUCAGCAACAAGUUAACCAGAUGGAGGCGAGACAUGUGUUUGUCGAAGAUGUCAGGGAUGUAAUGACUGUAAACCAUCGAAUGGCGAGGUUGAUGAAUGUAGAAAUAUAUUCACGACGCCAUGAAACAUUUCGUGUUACGGAUACCAUCGGUCGUCAACCCGGCAUACCACCUAGGUCCUAUGGAGUUUAUCUCUGGAAAAAACAGUGUGAUUGCAAGAGGUUCCGAACACUUCAUUAUCUAUGUGCGCAUGUCGUGGCAGCAUAUGCUAAGGUGAACCUUAAUGUUAAACAAUUUGUCGAUGAUGUAUACACACUCGAGCGCAAGUUACGUGUCUGGGAAAAUGAGUUCCCUGUUCUGCCUAACCUGUCAACAUGGGAGGUACCUUCGAUGACUUUCGAGCUUGUCCCAGACAGAGGGCUACGCAGGAAUCCGAAAGGUCGUCCGCAAUCAUCCAAAAUCUGUAAUGAGAUGGACAUUAAGGAGAAAUCUGACGGUAAACGUUGUGGAUUAUGCAGGUUAGCUAGUCAUAAUCGGAGUAAAUAUACGCAACGAAACUAUCAUGUUAAACAAUCGUCAUGAUCGGGUAGGAAUUGAACGUAUGUUGUAAUGUAUUUAAUUUAUAUAAAAAAAUUAUAUUGCAAAGUUUGUUCCAAUUAGAUUAAUGUUACAAGACUAAGUU